GAUGAACGCUGGCGGCGUGCCUAAUACAUGCAAGUCGAGCGAACGGACGAGAAGCUUGCUUCUCUGAUGUUAGCGGCGGACGGGUGAGUAACACGUGGAUAACCUACCUAUAAGACUGGGAUAACUUCGGGAAACCGGAGCUAAUACCGGAUAAUAUUUUGAACCGCAUGGUUCAAAAGUGAAAGACGGUCUUGCUGUCACUUAUAGAUGGAUCCGCGCUGCAUUAGCUAGUUGGUAAGGUAACGGCUUACCAAGGCAACGAUGCAUAGCCGACCUGAGAGGGUGAUCGGCCACACUGGAACUGAGACAGGGUCCAGACUACUACGGGAGGGAGCAGUAGGGAACCUUCCGCAAUGGGCGAAAGCCUGACGGAGCAACGCCGCGUGAGUGAUGACGGUCUUCGGAUCGGAAAACUCUGUUAUUAGGGAAGAACAUAUGUGUAAGUAACUGUGCACAUCUUGACGGUACCUAAUCAGAAAGCCACGGCUAACUACGUG
rnacentral:rRNA from 1 species